CUUUCACAAUGAAGGAAAGAAACUCUGGUGCAUUACUUGCUAAUGGACAUUGCCUGUGAGUUAAGGCACAAGCAAGUCUGUUCGAUAAAACCAACGCAACUGGUUUAUCCACCCAAAACAUCACAGCUGGAUAUCUUCUCCUUCUUGCUAAAGACGUGUCAAUCACUUCAGCUGAACUUGCUUCUGAGGCAUGGAUGAGCAUAUAAUACUAUUUCCUGGAGUCUUGGCUAAAAGACCAUGUCUGCAGCCAAGACUUUCUUGCCUGGUGCAGAAAACGAACUGCUGGAGGAACUCAGUGGGUCAGUUUGUGAAGGGAAAGGAAUUGUCAGCUAUUCAGAUUGAGAGUGCAUCAGGACCUGCAUUAUACUCCAGCAUCUGCACUCCCUUGCAUCUCCGUUUUCUUGCCUGAUGACAUCUUACCCUGCUUUCUCCUCCGGUUGUGCUGAAGAGAGAAUUCAUUUUCAAUCUCUUCUGAUUUAUGCUGUUCCUGUAACAGACACUUGACUUGCUACAAAGGAUCACUGGUUGAAAAGCACUGCACAAAAGCGUAUUACUGCAAAUCUGAUGUGCAAGCAGGAAA